rnacentral:rRNA from 1 species
AACGAACGCUGGCGGCAUGCCUAACACAUGCAAGUCGAACGAGACCUCCGGGCCUUUGGGCGCACGGCUGCGUAACACGUGGGAAUCUGCCCUUGGGUACGGAAUAACUGUCAGAAAUGACUGCUCAUACCGCAGGGUGUCGAAAGACCAAAGAUUUAUCGGCACAGGAUGAGCCCGCGUAGGAUUAGGUAGUUGGUGGGGGAAUGGCCUAGCAAGCGGAGGAUCCUUAGCUGGUCUGAGAGGAUGAUCAGCCACACUGGGACUCAGACACGGCCCAGCAUCCUACGGAAGGGAGGAGUGGAGAAUAUUGGACAAUGGGGGAAGGCCUGAUCCAGCAGUGCGGCGUAAGUGAUGAAGGCCGUAGGGUAGUAAAGCUCUUUUACCAGGGAUGUUAAUGACGGUACCUGGUGAAUAAGCACCGGCUAACUACGUG